rnacentral:rRNA from 1 species
UACGUAGGGCGCGAGCGUUGUCCGGAUUUAUUGGGCGUAAAGAGCUCGUAGGCGGCUUGUCGCGUCGGCUGUGAAAUCCCGCGGCUCAACCGCGGGUCUGCAGUCGAUACGGGCAGGCUAGAGUUCGGUAGGGGAGACUGGAAUUCCUGGUGUAGCGGUGAAAUGCGCAGAUAUCAGGAGGAACACCGGUGGCGAAGGCGGCUCUCUGGGCCGAUACUGACGCUGAGGAGCGAAAGCGUGGGGAGCGAACAGG